UUUUUAAUUAAUUUUGAGAAUUUUGAUCAAAUCUUAUGAUUUGAUUCGAUUCUCGAAUCUCAAUUCAUAAAAUGAAGAUUUUGAUUAUUGAUUAGACAACUCUGUGUUGUGGUGUCCAGAACUGAAAUUAUGCUUCUUUGGAGGUCAAAAGUACUAAAUUGCAAGAGCAAAUGAGGUUCAGUCUUUUUUUGCAUAUAAAGAAUUUCAGCUUGUAGAUAAAAUAUUAUCUUAUUGAGAAAUAUUAAACUUGUCCUUGCUUUUUUUCUGAUUAGCCAGAUUCAUUUGACUGGCUUGUCACAUCCAUAUGCAUUCUUGACUUCUUAAUACUCAACUAUACCUGUUAAUAAAAUCCUCAUAAUGCUGUCAAUGUGAUGCUUUGAAUCAGCUUUUGAAGCUAUUUUAGAAAGGAUAAUCAAACCUGUUCCCCAGGAAAAAUGGAGUUUUAGGGACCACUCUGUCCUGUUUUUGUCAUAGUGAAUGCCUAAAGAUUAACAGUGCUGUUAAGCAGCAUGCAAUGCAUAUAGGCGUAUUCUUCAAUUCAUGAAUUCAAUUCACAUGCACUUAUAUUUUAAUAGAUAGUUAAAUUGACAGUUUGUUGCUCGUGACAUUUUUGGGAAAAUCUGUAGGUCACCAUUUGUAAAGGAAGGAAAAGCAAAAUUUUAGUAUUUUUUCUUUUGUUCUAAUGUGUUGUAUCUUUGACAUGUUAAACAAACAACGAGAUCAUUGUUCCAUUCAUGAUUAUUAAAAGACAUUCAAUUUUCACAUGAAUCAUCUAGCUGCAAUAUUCUAUAUACCAACUGCCUGAUUCCUUUUCUUUUUCCCCAUCAUGGAGGAUAUGUAGGAAAACUGUCACUUUGAAAGAAUUUUUGUGGUGUGCAGUUUUUGCAGUGGUGGAUGCAUUAUUCCUUGGUCUGCAAUUGUUGAUGGCCAGAAAUUGCCAAAUGAAACUGAUUUCAUAGCUUCACAAGAAGAGUUGCUAUGUAAAAGUUUUUAUGGGUGAACUUAAAUUUGAUGCUCCCUUGCAGCGACACUGGAUUCAUAAAUUUUUAGCUGGCGUUUUUCUUUGAUAGCAUAGCAUCGUAGCAACCAACUUUGUAUUUUGGUUAUUCCUUCCAAAAGCUUUGUUUGGCGUAGAGAACCACAUUGGAAUUUAGAUAACCAAUUUGUAUAGAUUCAAAUGGGGCUGCUGUCAA
rnacentral:misc_RNA from 1 species